AUUAAUUUGAAUGAAAUAAGCAAUUUUAACAACAAAACAAAAAUACUCCAAAAUGUUGUGGUUUGAAUUCGAUUUCCGAACGUGUCCAAAACAUUUGAUGCUAUAAAUCCUUGAUUGACACUUAUGUUCUUAAACGAAAGAUAAAUCGAAAAAAAACUGACAACGCCAUGGCUAAAAAAGAAAAAAAAACCAGACCAACAAUAGUACACAAAACACAACAAAGACAAAUAAAGACAAAUAAAGACCAAGCAACACGAACC
rnacentral:lncRNA from 1 species